GGAGGAAGCGAAGCCUGGGUUGAACAUGACACAUGGAGUCAAGCACAGAUUUAGUCUCCAGAGCACAGUCAGCAACACGGGGCCGUAUGGCACAGGAGACGGAAUGGGUACCAGCUGGGAAGCUUGGCACACCGCCCAAAGCAGCCCUCCUCUGGUGCGCACAAUGGGCUGGAUGACCUGCAUUCAUCUUUAAAAUUCGGUGGAGACAGGUAGAUACGUAAUAACUGCAAGCGCGGAGCACAGGCCUGAGGACAUUUUAGGUCCUCAAUAGUCAACAUUACAUCCUUUGAGUGACCCGACUCACUAGUGUCACCAAGUGCACCAUGACAGUGUUGAGUCUAGGAAUGAUAGCAGAGCUACUUGAAGUUCUUGUGCCUCAGUUUUCCCCACGUGUAGGACGAAGAGUUUCAGAACUUUCGAAACAUCUGAGAACCUCCAGAUGCUGUAAAAACAACAACAGCAGCAGCAGCAGCAGCAACAACAACAAUUCUUAGACAGAGGGGGAAGCAAUACUUUGGCCACCUGGAUAAUUAACUCCUCAUCCAU
rnacentral:lncRNA from 1 species